rnacentral:rRNA from 1 species
UACGAAGGGGGCUAGCGUUGCUCGGAAUUACUGGGCGUAAAGCGCACGUAGGCGGCUUUCUAAGUCGGAGGUGAAAUCCUGGAGCUCAACUCCAGAACUGCCUUCGAUACUGGAGAGCUUGAGUCCGGGAGAGGUGAGUGGAACUGCGAGUGUAGAGGUGAAAUUCGUAGAUAUUCGCAAGAACACCAGUGGCGAAGGCGGCUCACUGGCCCGGUACUGACGCUGAGGUGCGAAAGCGUGGGUAGCAAACGGG